CUCACAGAUCACGUAUUAACAUUUUAAAAUCGUUCCUUUUUCAAUAUGGUUCCGACUCUUACGACUGGAAGAUGUAUAGUGCUUCUUAUAGAAAUUUAGUGAUAUGGUGAUAACGUGAUUGGUGAUGAAGUUGGCAAUUUGUUAGCAAAUUGGAUUUUACCCGGAGAGCGAUUUGGAGGAAAGUGUGGUAUCCAACGUUACUAAUCACGUCUUCAUUAUAGUGUAUCAGACCACUGGUCUUCUUGUUCCACCCUUAAUGCUUCCUCGUAUGUUUACCCGUCCAUCGGAAAGAAGACAGUAAUCAUUGGUUUGACCUUGUUAAACUUAGUUUGAUGAGCUGGCAGGAGCUACAUACCAAGCGAACGUCUUUCACCAACAUCGGCAAUGCCUAAGAAGGUACAGACUCACAGAUAAAAAGAUAUAAUAAAAAAGACGGCACAAUUUAAUGGAUAACGUCAGCUGAAAUCUUU